rnacentral:tRNA from 1 species
GUCACUUUGCCGGAGUGGUUAACGGGAUCGCCUGCUAUUAUUAGCCGUAAGCGGUUGGGCUUUGCCCGCGAGUGUUCGAAUCGCUCAGGUGACG